rfam:Cajanus cajan chromosome 11, whole genome shotgun sequence.
UGUGCAAGUGACGAUAAAUUAGACAGGGACAUCAGCACUUAUCUAAAGGAUGAUGAUUUGUCUUUGGGAAUCUCUCUGAUGCAUA